rnacentral:miRNA from 1 species
GUCUCCGCCUCCUCGUCCCGCCCCGCCUGCUCGGCGGCGGAGGCGGCGGCGGCGGCAGCAGUUGUCUCUGCCUCUCCGCCACCUCCACCCCGGCUCGUGUCCCGGCCGGCGGUGUUGGCGGGGAGGG